AGCGGGGUGGGGUAGUCAGGAAAUCCGAUGGGCUCAUAACCCGUAGAUCGAUGGUUCAAAUCCAUCCCCCGCUA
rnacentral:tRNA from 1 species